GAUGAAGAACGUAGCGAAAUGCGAUAAGUAAUGUGAAUUGCAGAAUUCAGUGAAUCAUCGAAUCUUUGAACGCACAUUGCGCCCGCCAGUAUUCUGGCGGGCAUGCCUGUUCGAGCGUCAUUUCAACCAUCAAGCCCCAGGCUUGUGUUGGGGACCUGCGGCUGCCGCAGGCCCUGAAAACCAGUGGCGGGCUCGCUGUCACACCGGGCGUAGUAGAUUUUAUCUCGCUCAGGGCGUGCUGCGGGUUCCGGCCGUUAAAAAGCCUUUUUUACCCAAGGUUGACCUCGGAUCAGGUAGGAAGACCCGCUGAACUUAAGAAUAUCAAUAAGCGGAGGA
rnacentral:misc_RNA from 1 species